rnacentral:rRNA from 1 species
GACGAACGCUGGCGGCGUGCUUAACACAUGCAAGUCGAACGGUAAGGCCUUCGGGUACACGAGUGGCGAACGGGUGAGUAACACGUGGGUGAUCUGCCCUGCACUUUGGGAUAAGCCUGGGAAACCGGGUCUAAUACCGAAUAGGACUACGGCCUGCAUGGGUUGUGGUGGAAAGCUUUUGCGGUGUGGGAUGGGCCCGCGGCCUAUCAGCUUGUUGGUGAGGUCACGGCUCACCAAGGCGACGACGGGUAGCCGGCCUGAGAGGGUGACCGGCCACACUGGGACUGAGAUACGGCCCAGACUCCUACGGGAGGCAGCAGUGGGGAAUAUUGCACAAUGGGCGCAAGCCUGAUGCAGCAACGCCGCGUGAGGGAUGACGGCCUUCGGGUUGUAAACCUCUUUCAGUAGGGACGAAGCGCAAGUGACGGUACCUAUAGAAGAAGGACCGGCCAACUACGUGCCAGCAGCCGCCGUAA